GAGGCUAAGAAACUUUUCCUUUCUUUUUAGUUUUUUAAAGCAAUCCUUGUUAAUUCAUGAAAACUGAAGUGCCUAGGAGUAUGAUUUCCUUUCUUGAUAAGUACAUAGUUUGGUGAAAGUACAUCAUUGAUAUCAAUGAGUUCGAUCUCUUCCUCAGUAGAGUUAGGUAUCCAGGAGGGAUACCUCAGUGCAAACCAGAAAAGUGAAUUGGUGUGGGAUGUUUGUACAAGCAUCAAUCGCUUCACCAGUCACCCAAAGCACUUUGAGAGGCAGUGGAUUGCAAAAAAAAUUGUUGAAGAGCAUCCAUGUAUGGCUGGCAAGAAACUUGUUGACUCAGACACUGAAUGGGGCUAUUUGGAAGUCAAGAUUUUCAACAGAAUGAAAAAGAUCCAAAAACCCAAACGUCCAGCUGAUCCUGCUGGAGCUAGUCCCUCUAAGGCCAAAAGGCACAAAAAAGAUUUCAGUAUUUGGGCAAAGCAGCCAGACUUACCUGCAGGUGACACUCUGGCAACUUUAAAAGUCUAUGCUGAGGAAAAACUCCCGAAAGCACAAAGCUCAUAGGGAUUUUAUGGACAAAACAAUCCCCCUCCGCUGCCAUGAAAUAAUAACUGCCCCUGUAUUGGUAAAGGAUGUGUUGAUGGAGUAACCAUCUCUGAAAUAUUUCGUCCAUAUUAAGGUGUUCAAUGAGGUAAUGGUUGGAAUGGGAGCUGCCCUUAGUGAAGAGGGAUGUAACAGAGAAGAAAUUAAAAAUAGGACAUCCCUGCUGGUCAUCAACAAAGUUCUGUACCAGGAGAGUGGAAAGACAACGGGACUUCAAGAUGAAGUUGUGACCAUUGUGGAGGUAGGAAUCUAUAAAAACUGCUACUUUGGUGCAAAAAUACUCUAGAACAGCUAAAAUUGCUGAGCCCAUUUGCUUAUGAAGUCCAGAUACUAAGCUUCAAGU